rnacentral:rRNA from 1 species
AGUGAAGUAGAGGACAGUGGCGGACGGGUGAGUAACGCGUGAGGAACCUGCCUUUCAGAGGGGGACAACAGUUGGAAACGACUGCUAAUACCGCAUGACACAUAGAGAUCGCAUGGUUUUUAUGUCAAAGAUUUAUCGCUGAGAGAUGGCCUCGCGUCUGAUUAGCUAGUUGGUGAGGUAACGGCCCACCAAGGCGACGAUCAGUAGCCGGACUGAGAGGUUGACCGGCCACAUUGGGACUGAGAUACGGCCCAGACUCCUACGGGAGGCAGCAGUGGGGAAUAUUGGGCAAUGGGCGCAAGCCUGACCCAGCAACGCCGCGUGAAGGAAGAAGGCUUUCGGGUUGUAAACUUCUUUUGUCGGGGACGAGUAGAAGACGGUACCUGGCGAAUAAGCCACG